rnacentral:rRNA from 2 species
GUGCGAGACCGAUAGCGAACAAGUACCGUGAGGGAAAGAUGAAAAGAACUUUGAAAAGAGAGUUAAAGAGUACCUGAAACUGCUGAAAGGGAAGCGAAUCGUAUCCAGUGUCUAUAAUCUGCGGCAUAUUUCAUUGGCGGCAGUGUGCGUGCUUUUGCGUCGGAAGCGGCUUUUGCUGCUCUGUGCUUUUGCUGUGCGUGCUGUUGCUGGUGCCCUGUGUUGCGGUGGGACGUCAGAGUCAGUUCGUAUGCUGCGGGAAAUGGCCGCCGAGGAGGUAGGUCAGGACUUCGGUCUUGGCUGUUAUAUCUUGGUGGUUUGUUGUCGUGGUUGGGACUGAGGUGCCUACAAUGUGCUUUUGAGUGUGCCGGGUUCUCAUUUGGUGGACUGUUUGGAUAGCUUGCUAUGCUUGUGGUUUUUUCAUCGAGUGAUUGAGUCUGGUGGUAACUUGUUGCUGUUCGGGACUUUGAA